UAUGACUACUGGCAGGAUCAACCAGGUAGCAUUCCUCAUUGCCGCCGACACCGCAUGAGUAACAGGACAAAUACUAUCCUCCAAUCAAUGCAGGGCACGGCAUGCUUCAAUAAGGAACGUUUAAUUCGGGCAACAACGGGUCAAGGGCCCCGACAGAUCACGUUUCUGCAUACAAGACUUUGAGCGACACAAGGGCAUCUAAUGCCUCCUAUAAAGCCAAAGUGGCCAAGCAAGGGCAGAUGUCCAAGUGGGAUUGGGUCUACAUCAUACAAGACAUUUAGCACGAAAUAGAGAAGAGAACGGUGGACUAGGAAAUUCCAUCAUAUUAGGUAUGCUCACAGGGGGCCAAGUCAACCAAGGCAAAAGGUUUUGCACUCAGACUGAACUGAAAAGGUGUGAUCCCAUGAUUGUCGCUGCCAAGGCAGGGAACCAACCACAGGGAACAUACC
rnacentral:misc_RNA from 1 species